AUGCCCAAAGUGGUGUCUCGGUCGGUGGCUUGCUCAGAUACUCGAGAUCGCGAGGAAUAUGACGACGGCGAGAAGCCUCUCCAUGUUUACUACUGUUUGUGUGGCCAGAUGGUCCUGAUUCUGGACUGUCAAUUAGAAAAGUUGCCUAUGAGACCCCGGGACAGAUCCUGUGUGAUUGAUGCUGCCAAACAUGCCCACAAGUUUUGUAACACGGAAGAUGAGGAGACUAUGUAUCUUCGGAGGCCAGAAGGCAUCGAAAGACAAUACAGGAAGAAAUGUGCAAAAUGCGGACUCCCACUGUUCUACCAGUCCCAGCCAAAGAAUGCUCCCGUAACCUUCAUUGUGGAUGGAGCAGUAGUGAAGUUUGGCCAGGGUUUUGGGAAAACAAACAUAUACACCCAGAAACAAGAGCCUCUGAAAAAGGUGAUGAUGACCAAACAGACUAAGGACAUGGGCAAGUGCAGCUCUGUCACUGUGUCUACCAUUGAUGAAGAAGAAGAGGAGAUUGAGGCUAGAGAAGUUGCUGAUUCGUAUGCCCAGAAUGCCAAAGUGAUUGGGAAACAGCUAGAGCGUAAAGGCAUGAGCAAGAGAAGACUGCGAGAGCUGGCCGAACUGGAAGCCAAGAAAGCAAAACUGAAAGGAACUUUGAUUGACAACCAAUUCCAAUGAGAGGACUUUGCUCUGAGCCGGACACAG